rnacentral:rRNA from 1 species
UACGUAGGGGGCAAGCGUUGUCCGGAAUCAUUGGGCGUAAAGAGCGUGUAGGCGGUCCGGUAAGUCGGCUGUGAAAGUCCAGGGCUCAACCCUGGGAUGCCGGUCGAUACUGCCGGACUAGAGUUCGGAAGAGGCGAGUGGAAUUCCUGGUGUAGCGGCGAAAUGCGCAGAUAUCGGGAGGAACACCUAUGGCGAAAGCGGCUCACUGGACCAUAACUGACGCUGAGGCACGAAAGCUAGGGGAGCAAACAGG